CUCCUUAUAAGGAAGAAUGAGGAUUUCGAAACGAUCAAGAAAUUGGUGGACGAGACGACGUUCUACGACAAGCAGUGGCAAGCUGCCUGGCAAGAUGAGACAUCAGAGAAUAAGUAGUAGGGAGAGAUGUAAUGUAAUUUCUUCACCUAACAAUGCUGCUCAGUCUUCUUCUUGUUUUGCUUCAUGUCUUGAAUCACAAAAUGUGUUUUAUGUUAUCCACUUCUUUGGCCAUUGAUAUGUUGUUUUGAUUGCUCAAAGGCUCACUCCAAGAAUCUCUAACUUGUUUGAGAAUUUUGUAUAAUUCUUCAUAUAAGAUGUUGAUGUUUUAUUAUGGGUUAAUUCCACCAAAAAUAGCCUAGUUUAUUAUGGCACGUGUUUUAAUAAAUUGGUUGAGUGUCGUGAGUUCAAUAAGAAAUCUAUUUUUAUUGUAGUUUUAUAUUAAUUAAUUUGAUUGAAUGAUGGAUCCAAUAUUAAUAAAUAAAGGUAAUUAAGCUGGUUAUGUGGUUGGAAUAAAUGUUUUGCUCUUAAUGUAGUUUUAAAUUGAUUAAUUUGAUCGACAAUAUUCAGAGUUAUAAUCAGUAAAGUAUAUUAAAAAUGAACAUGUGGAGUACUCUUAUCGGUGCAAAAUAGCAAAAUGAGUAUAUUUUUUAUGGACGAAAGGAAUAUCAAUUUUGUACCUAAUUUUUAAAAAUAUUUUCAACUUCUAUUAUUCAAUUAAAUUUUCGUCACUAGAGUGGUGAUAUGACAUGCCCAAGAAAUACUAGUAAAGUCACCUAAGUUUGAAUUUUUCUUUUGAAAUAAAAUUUACACAUAAGUUUUCAGUUUUAAAUAUAUUAUAAAUUAGAUUAAACUUAUAAACUCUAUAAAAUAAUACAUCAAAUUAAAAUGUUACUAUGAGAAUAAGUUAUGUUUUGCUUAUGCUUUCGAAAAGGAAGAGCUAUAGUUAUAGUUAAUUAAAUUUAGCAUGAAUGAAAGAUCUAUGUGAUUUAAUAAAAAUCAUUAUUUUAAUCAAUUUAUUUUGUUGGUCAAAAAAUUCAUAAUUUUUAUUUUUUUUGAAAUUCAACCAAUCUAGAAUUUAUAAUCUAGCUGAAUUUUAAAAAUAGUAUAAAAAAAAGUUCAUGUAAUUAACCCAUUUAUUUAUUAUUUAUAUACUCCAUAUAUUAAUAACAUAUCGCCAAACAAGACACUCCGGCCUUCAAAAGGCCAAAUUUUGAUUAGCAAAGCAUUAAACAAUUGAAAAGGGUGGAGACAAAAUGAUGUUGGCGAGGAAUUCCCUCACCGGAAAAUGCCACCUUCUGUUGCGAUGGGCAGGUCGUUGUCGCACAACUACGGCGCAGUUGAGUUGGCGCAGCAAAAUUCCAGUUGAGGGCAACCCAACUCACCUUCGUAGGAGCUUCGCAAGCAGCUAUGGUAGACUAUUUGGUCGUCAGGAUUUGGGGUUUAAGCAUUCGGGUCUUCUCUCUUUUCGGGUUUCUAGCGGCGGCGGCUCCGGUGGCAGAACUGGUGGAGGGUUUGGUGGCUCCGGCAAUGGAGGUUCUGGUGGUGGAGGUGGCGGCGCUGGUGGAAGUAAUUGGUCGUUUCUUUCAUGGUAAAGAUUCUUCUUCUUGUAAAUUAGGUGUUUUUCUAAACUUUGAGUUUGAGAAGAAGAUGAUUUCUUUUAUGAUUUGAUUUGGUGAUGAGAGUUAUUGUACAAUAAUUCAUACAAGCUUUGUUUUAGCAUUUGGAGGAAAACAUGCAUGGAAAUAGGAGGUUGAAUCUUGCAAAUAUGAUUGGCAAGCUGCAGAUAAAAAUAAUACAUGUAUAAAGUUGGGGGCCUUCUGAUUGAAAUUUAUGUAAAUAUGUUGCAAGUUGAAAGCUUUGCUCCUCUGAUUAUCUCAUUGUUUUGUUAAUUGAGGAUUGAUUUUCCUUUUUUUUUUUUUUUUUCUUUUGCAUUCAUCUUGGCUUGCAUUUUCUCCAGGUAUAUGUCUCUUCUAGCGAAGUAUCCAGUGCCGACAAAAGCCGUCACAUCGGCAUUCUUGACUUUGGUUGGUGAUUUAACCUGUCAGGUAAGCCAAUCUAUAUCCUUGAGAACUGAGGGAAACUAGCUUUCUUGCUAGUGUUAAGAUGAUAAUAUGCUUUAACAUUGUAAAAAGGUGUAUUUUUUCUCACAUAAAAAGGAUGAGAGACAAGUUAUCUGGAGGUGAAAGGAAGCUGAUAGGAGUUUCCAAAUGGGGCUGUUGUUUUAUGAAGAAUAUGUAUAAAAUAACCUCUCGGGGUCUAAGGGGUUUAAAGUUGUGUAGUGAAUCUUUUUGCACUCUAUAUAUGUGCAGUUAACUCGUCUGCGUGUAUAUACUUUGGUUGGUCUAGCAAUAACCAUAGAUUUUCUUGAUAUUGUGUAUACUCUUAGCCUGGGAUGGGAUCUCAACCUGGCCAUCUCUUGUUCAUAGAUUUCAUGUGUUUGUUGCGUGUUCUUAGUUCUCACGUAAUUCUGAUAGACCUCGAUGUUAGGAAGAGAGGUUUGAUCUGUCUUCUUAAUUGCUUAAUGCUGUGUGUGAUGCACCUCAGCUCGUGAUUGAUCAAGCACCAUCUCUAGACUUGAAGAGGACGUCUAUCUUCACGUUGCUGGGGCUGGUUUUGGUUGGUCCGACGUUACAUUUCUGGUAAUUGCCUGAAAUUUAGUUUAUCAUGGCCUAAUCAAUGUUGGAUGUAUGCCAAAGCUUAAUUCUCUUAUGACUUUGCAUCUGAUCAUCGUUUGAGAUUUAAUACGAAUUAUCAUGUAUCAUGUUUACACAAUUACAUCUACCACUAUGCAAUGACAACCUUAAAGAUGCUUGUUUCAGCAUGCUUUCUACUACAUUAAUGGAAUUGCAUUCUUACUCGUAGAGAGUAAGGCUGUGACUUAUGAGGAUUCUUACCAUUAAGAGAGUGUUUGGCUAUAAUGAUUGUUGGCUAUAGUAUUAUUAAAAAAAUAAGUUGGCUAUAGGAUUAUUAAAAUAAGCUGUUGAAGCUUAUUUUACACCUUAUAAGUUGUGUAGGAGCUUAUAAGCUCAACCAAACACCCCCUAAGUAACAACUUCACAUGCAUCUAUGGAAUUGAUUCUUACAACCUCUCAAUUCUUUUUGUUGGAGCUCAAUUUUCCUCUAAUGUUCACUUUCUUCGGUUUUAAAUGGGCGAAUAUCCCAAGGCCCGUGAUAUGUAUCCACCUCAAGCGAUGCGCUCUAAUUCACCCAUAUCUUUCUAGUUAGUAACUCAAGUCCUUAGUAUUUUGAAGACAAAUUGCUUUUGUUGUCACAUAUUUAGGUACUUGUCUCUGAGUAAACUGGUCACAACCCCUGGAGCUUAUGGUGUUUUGUCGCGGCUUCUCCUUGACCAGGUAAUGUCUCGUUCCUGCUGCUUGGUUAGAAAUGCCAUAUCGCCUCAUAAUCUCAUACUAGUGCGGAUCUUGCACCUUGUCGUGCAAUGCAGUUCCUUUUUGCUCCCACUUUCAUCGGAAUAUUCCUGUCUACGCUGGUCACACUCGAGGGGAGGCCAUCGGAUGUGAUCCCAAAGCUACAGCAGGUAUUCAUUAUUAAACAUUCGCUCGUUUUGUUGAAAGGGCCCGGUGGCGCAAGCGCUAAUCUUGUGUUUCGCAGGAGUGGUUUUCAUCAGUUGUUGCGAAUUGGCAGCUGUGGAUUCCUUUCCAGUUCCUCAACUUCCGUUUUGUGCCGCAGCAAUUCCAGGUAGAGUUAAUAUAUCAAAAUAUUCAUUUUACUACUAAGAAGCUUUUCAAUUGAUUGUAUGCAAAAUAGGGUCAAUUCACGACUAACAAACUUAACCAAAAACAUGUAUCAUGAUGUUGAGUUUCCUUAAUUUUUCCUUGUCAUUUUUGCAGGUCCUUGCAGCCAACUUCAUUGCCUUGGUAUGGAAUGUGAUUCUCUCAUAUAAAGCUCACAAACAAGUUGUUGCCAAAUAGGUAAAACGUAGAUAAUGAAGCGCAACUUAAUUAGUAAUAUACGUUUCCUCUAAUCAUUAGGUUGAGGGUUUGAGUCAUCACAGCCGCAAAUGGAUGUAUCUUUUCUUUUUAAAAAGCCAAAAAAUAAAAAAAGGUGUUCUCCUUAUAAGGAAGAAUGAGGAUUUCGAAACGAUCAAGAAAUUGGUGGACGAGACGACGUUCUACGACAAGCAGUGGCAAGCUGCCUGGCAAGAUGAGACAUCAGAGAAUAAGUAGUAGGGAGAGAUGUAAUGUAAUUUCUUCACCUAACAAUGCUGCUCAGUCUUCUUCUUGUUUUGCUUCAUGUCUUGAAUCACAAAAUGUGUUUUAUGUUAUCCACUUCUUUGGCCAUUGAUAUGUUGUUUUGAUUGCUCAAAGGCUCACUCCAAGAAUCUCUAAGUUGUUUGAGAAUUUUGUGUUUUGAUUUGCUCAAAGAGCUCACUCCAAGAAUCUCUAACUUGUUUGAGAAUUUUGUAUAAUUCUUCAUAUAAGAUGUUGAUGUUUU
rnacentral:lncRNA from 1 species